GGGAAGUGGGGAGCAGGAUCCGGGUUCAGACAGCGGGGCAUGGGAAGCCGGGCCACAGUAUACUCACCGCUGCGCAGCGUCCCGGUUGGCGGGCCGCGUAGGCCGGGCCGCCGCGGAAAGGAAAGGCCGGAGCCCUCCGGCUCCCUCCCCUGGGACACUUCCUGCACCGCUCUAGGACCGAGGAGCCACAAUUCCAUUUCAAAGCCAACGCUGCCAAAGCCACCCAAAUCGGUACGACUGGAGAAAUGCAGACCCGGCGAUCCACGGUGCUCGCCGAAGCAUCGGCCCGCGCCUUCGUGGCGUGGAGAUGAUCUACGAUUUUUCUGUUUAAGGAAGACUGUAGC
ensembl:processed_transcript 4933439C10Rik RIKEN cDNA 4933439C10 gene